AGAGUUUGAUCAUGGCUCAGAUUGAACGCUGGCGGCAGGCUUAACACAUGCAAGUCGAGCGGGGAAGGGUAGCUUGCUACCUGACCUAGCGGCGGACGGGUGAGUAAUGCUUAGGAAUCUGCCUAUUAGUGGGGGACAACAUUCCGAAAGGAAUGCUAAUACCGCAUACGCCCUACGGGGGAAAGCAGGGGAUCUUCGGACCUUGCGCUAAUAGAUGAGCCUAAGUCAGAUUAGCUAGUUGGUGGGGUAAAGGCCUACCAAGGCGACGAUCUGUAGCGGGUCUGAGAGGAUGAUCCGCCACACUGGGACUGAGACACGGCCCAGACUCCUACGGGAGGCAGCAGUGGGGAAUAUUGGACAAUGGGCGAAAGCCUGAUCCAGCCAUGCCGCGUGUGUGAAGAAGGCCUUUUGGUUGUAAAGCACUUUAAGCGAGGAGGAGGCUACUUAGAUUAAUACUCUAGGAUAGUGGACGUUACUCGCAGAAUAAGCACCGGCUAACUCUGUGCCAGCAGCCGCGGUAAUACAGAGGGUGCGAGCGUUAAUCGGAUUUACUGGGCGUAAAGCGUGCGUAGGCGGCUUUUUAAGUCGGAUGUGAAAUCCCUGAGCUUAACUUAGGAAUUGCAUUCGAUACUGGGAAGCUAGAGUAUGGGAGAGGAUGGUAGAAUUCCAGGUGUAGCGGUGAAAUGCGUAGAGAUCUGGAGGAAUACCGAUGGCGAAGGCAGCCAUCUGGCCUAAUACUGACGCUGAGGUACGAAAGCAUGGGGAGCAAACAGGAUUAGAUACCCUGGUAGUCCAUGCCGUAAACGAUGUCUACUAGCCGUUGGGGCCUUUGAGGCUUUAGUGGCGCAGCUAACGCGAUAAGUAGACCGCCUGGGGAGUACGGUCGCAAGACUAAAACUCAAAUGAAUUGACGGGGGCCCGCACAAGCGGUGGAGCAUGUGGUUUAA
rnacentral:rRNA from 1 species